CAAUGGACGAAAGUCUGACGGAGCAACGCCGCGUGAGCGAUGAAGGCCUUCGGGUCGUAAAGCUCUGUUGUUAGGGAAGAACAAGUAUCGGAGUAACUGCCGGUACCUUGACGGUACCUAACCAGAAAGCCACGGCUAACUACGUG
rnacentral:rRNA from 1 species